UACGUAGGGUGCGAGCGUUGUCCGGAAUUACUGGGCGUAAAGGGCGCGUAGGCGGCUCAUGAAGGCUGUGGUGAAAGUCCGGGGCUCAACCUCGGAUCGGCCGUGGCGACUCGUGGGCUGGAGCACUGUAGAGGCGGGUGGAAUUCCGGGUGUAGCGGUGGAAUGCGUAGAUAUCAGGAGGAACACCUGUGGCGAAAGCGGCUCACUGGACCAUAACUGACGCUGAUGCACGAAAGCUAGGGGAGCAAACAGG
rnacentral:rRNA from 1 species